rnacentral:tRNA from 1 species
GGGGUUGUGGCUCAGUGGUAGAGCGCGUGUCUUGCACGUGGGAGGGUUCAAUCCUCAGCAUCA